GGGGAUGUAUUGGCUUCGACGGUAUUUUAGAAAUAUUGAUAGCAAGUGAUGGACUCUGCUUGGCCAUCUAAAAAAUGCAGAAAAAAAUUUAAACGCUGAUAAACAAGAAUUAGCAUACGCUGCCUAAUUGCAGCGACGUCUUAUUAUAAGACCUCACUAUUAUAGUAAGGCGACAAAUUAGUGAGAAACAAAACUGCUUUUUGCCUUAGAAGCAGUGGGUAUUAUAAGGCUACCGAUAUUUUAAGUUUGUUUGUUAACUUAAUUUAAAGGGAAAUUUAACAAUAAACUAAACUUGUAGAAGUUAAUAUGGAAGAAAUAUUGGACACGAGUUCGACUCUCGUCAUCUCCACCA
rnacentral:tmRNA from 1 species